rnacentral:miRNA from 1 species
CCUGGCAUAUUUGGUAUAACUU